GACGAACGCUGGCGGCGUGCUUGACACAUGCAAGUCGUACGGAAAGGCCUGCUUUCCCUUGUGGAUUGCGGGUACUCGAGUGGCGAACGGGUAAGUAACACGUGAGUGAUCUGCCCCCAACUUGGGUAUAAGCCUGGGAAACUGGGUCUAAUUCCCGAUAGGACUGCAGGGUGGUGCCUGUGGUGGAAAACGAUUUUCUAGUGGUUGGGGAUGAGCUCGCGGCCUAUCAGCUUGUUGGUGGGGUAAUGGCCUACCAAGGCGGCGACGGGUAGCCGGCCUGAGAGGGUGGACGGCCACAUUGGGACUGAGAUACGGCCCAGACUCCUACGGGAGGCAGCAGUGGGGAAUAGUGCACAAUGGGCGGAAGCCUGAUGCAGCGACGCCGCGUGGGGGAUGACGGCCUUCGGGUUGUAAACUCCUUUCGACCGCGAGGAAGCCACCUGGUUGGAAGGGUGGUGACGGUAGUGGUAGAAGAAGCACCGGCUAACUACGUG
rnacentral:rRNA from 1 species